UGGAUUCUUUUGCUGGUAUAUAAAUAUUUAUUAUUAUUAUUAUUUUAUUGUGAUUUACGCGCUAAUGCCGUCCUCCCUCGGUAAGCUUCGCCAAGGCAAGGCCAGAAGCACUCCAACAUAGCCUCAUCUACUACUCUCUCUCUCUAUAUAUACAUAUUUCUUGCUAUAUCUAUAUAUAUCCCCCAUAUAACCUUCACUUUCAAUAUCGACAUAACUUAAUAUCUCUCUUUAGGAUAUUAUUAGCUAUCUGAUUAUAGUUUAAGUAGUACGUAUCAAUUAGCUUAUAAUUAUUAUCAAUAUGAAUCAGUAUGAUCAAAAUCAACCCCAAGGAGGUACGUGUGUGUUAAUUGAUUGAUUUAAAUUUUGAUUGGAAAAUUUAAGAUUAAUUUGGAUUUUGAUUGAAUUUGCAGUCGCAGUCUCGUAUCCUGCAAUUUCAAGCCCUUAUGCAGCUCCGCCGCCUGCUGGUUACCCCACGAAAGACGGUGCCGAUCCCCCUGCUGGUGCUGAUGGACCUGUAGAAACUAAAUCGAGAGGUGAUGGAUUUUGGAAAGGAUGCUGUGCUGCCUUGUGUUGCUGCUGUGUAUUGGAUGCUUGUUUCUGAUCAUUCCCCUUAAUUUGUCAUAUGAUCAUAUUGUCUUCUCAAUUUAUUUUUUUUUAAAAUUUUAGUUUUAUCACUAUUGUAUUUAUGUAUUAUGUAUGUAUGUUGUUGGGCCAUGAUUCUAUUCUUUAUUGGGCCAAACUUAAUGGGCUCCUUCCUUGGAUUAUGUUAUUUUUGCUUUGUUGGUCCGAAUGAUUUGGGCCCAAUUAUUUGAUUAUUUCAUUGGGUCCUUUCGGUUGAAUUCGGUCGUAUGGGUUAUUUCCGUCAUCUGGGCUUAGUCAUUGAAUUGGCCCAUUAUACAAAUUGCCACUUAACCCAACUUUGACCGAUAAUCAUUACGCCAAAUAAUAUUUGACUAUUAUGUCUGCCACCUUUCUGCAUGACAUUAAUGAGGAUGAGACUCAGAUGACCGGCGGUGGCAAAUAGUGGUAGCAGGUGAGAAAGUAGGUUACAUACUUUCGACUGAAAUGACCGGGAGUGGGGAAAAGGUGUCAGGAGGUGAUGGGUGGCACGGUAAACCGGGAUUGGAGUACGUAUGGGGCUAGGAUCACAAAAAGGAAGUAAGUAACAAGAUAUUACAACAUAUAAUCAUAAUAUUAUUCUCUCUCAGGCAUUAGACAUUAUUUUUCCUCCAUUGUUAACCUUAUGAUCGCCGAUAUUGACUCUCACGCCGAAACUAUCCUCCGACGGUCAAGCCGUCAAUCUUUUGGUGUUGACUUGUUGAAUUGUGCAGGAUAUCGGACUCGUCUUGAUGAUUGGGACGUGGAGAAAGAUCCUGACGUUAACAUAUGUACUAAAGAGAGAUUUGGAAGGAUUGAUUUAGUGAUUCCAACUAUUGAUACAUACUAUUCAUCUAUUCUAUUGUAGUUGAGUUAGUGAUGCUUAUGAUCCCAAAUCUACAUUUAUGAGUAAAAUUCCAUUGUGUUUAAAUCAUAUAGAGUUAAUUUUUGAGAAAGAUUGGAGUGCGUUGACCAAAGAGUUAUCACAAUAUUUUAUUAAAGAGUAAUGAAUUCUUUGGGAAGGUGUGAGAGAUUUUUUUUUUUUGUAAUUUUCUCUUGGUCAUUAUUUUUAUCCAAAUAGAUUUUUCAUGACAAGCUUGUCAUCUUUUUUCAUUCGCUGAGUUUUUUUCACUGAAUUUUUUUAACAAAAUUUUAAUAAAAAAUAAUAUUCUAUUUUAAGAAAUCAGGGGCCAAGAGAUUUCAAACUAAUGGGACCAUAACUAGAUAUUUUUCUUUCUAGUCAAUUAUUUGAUUUGUAAUUCACUUCAUUUUGUUUUUAUUAGGUCAUUAUUUUUACAGGGGUAAAAAUAAUAAUCUAAUUUCUUUGUAAUUUUCAUACGAAAUACGACUCCUUUUAAUUUCGAGACAUCUUGCAAAACCUUAUCUUAAGCUUCUUGCUAUGGUGGAUAAAGGACUUAAUCCUAUAUUAU
rnacentral:lncRNA from 1 species